CGUGGGUUGACCUACUUUCCCAAAAAGCCAAACCCUUUGGCAACCCAUUCCUUGACAUAAGUUGCAUUCUCUCGUAUUGUUCCUGCGCACCUUUCUGUUCCCACCCUUCACAAUCAUGGUAUACUCAUUCCUGCCAAAAUUGAUCUUUAUCCAUAGCUCCCUCAAUCUCCAUAUUAAUGUUUUGCUUCUCCUCAGGGGCCGCACAGGAUCAACUUCAGGAGCAAAGCUUAGCAAAAGCCUCGUCUUGUUUUGUUAAUAACCUCGUGAGUCUAUGUGUAAUAUCUUCCUUUCGUUGGAAUCAAGCAGCUUCAUGUUAACCUUUUGCUCUCGAAGGCUUGUUUGGUCAUUUUGUUUCGUCCAUCGACAUUGUUUCUUCACUGUGGCCCAUGCCUUAGAGAAACACAGCUUGUGCUUAAUUGCAUCGAUAACAUGCUACCAAAUUUCCUGUUCUACAACAAAGCCAAUGUGCAACAAAUAAGAUAUGCGCUGAUUGCUGGUUGCAACUUUGCCAAAGGAGGAGGGAGCUUCAAUUUGGGAUAUUACGUUGGCGGAGAAAUAAGCAGUGCUCGCAAGUUACCAAUUUGGAUUAGAUUCUAUCUCUUCGUCCUGGUGGCAGUAGCAGUUAAUUUCAUUUAACGUGACAUAAUGAUUAGCAUUGAGAAAUGGAUAAUCGCUUAACCUCUUCGCGCCCUGAUUGAUUGAUGGGUUCCUUGUAACCAUAAUAGCUUUCGUACUAAUGCACUUCAUAUCGUAAAAUCUGAAGAAAAACUUCCAUACAAACAUUUACAUUUUGCAAGUGCAUUUACGGUGUCUAGACUGUUCAACAACUCUAAUGAUUUAUAAAUGAAUAACACAAGGCAAUCCAGAAAAUAGCUAUCAAAUUGACUAAACGUAUCACAUGUAAUACCCCCAGUAUGUAAUCAGAUCGACACAG